UUCUAAGUAUCAUAUAUGGAUCCCCAUGUUAUUUAAUUGUCAUUUUUAUCAAGAAUUCAUCAAGUGUUUUAAGCUUGUUUACCUUGGAAGCCCUAAUUCAUCUAGGUAUCUUAUGUGACUUUCUCAGCAAGUUUCUUCAAUAAAUGGUAAAAUAUAUCAAGGUAUACUUCAUUAUAAUUCAUCUCAAGCAUAUAUGAUUAUCAAUGAUCCCCAAAUACCAAAAGAACUUCAAGUUUGCAAGUUGGUUCAAAGAGGUUGACCAGAGAAAGUAAAGUAGUUAAAUCUGGGGUUCCCUAUACCAUAU
rnacentral:lncRNA from 1 species